rnacentral:rRNA from 1 species
ACUCGAGUGGCGAACGGGUGAGUAACACGUGGGUGAUCUGCCCUGCACUUCGGGAUAAGCCUGGGAAACUGGGUCUAAUACCGGAUAGGAGCCAUUUUUAGUGUGAUGGUUGGAAAGUUUUUUCGGUGUAGGAUGAGCUCGCGGCCUAUCAGCUCGUUGGUGGGGUAAUGGCCUACCAAGGCGGCGACGGGUAGCCGGCCUGAGAGGGUGUACGGCCACAUUGGGACUGAGAUACGGCCCAG